rnacentral:pre_miRNA from 1 species
CUUAUACUCCCUCCAUCCGAAAAUACUUGUCAUCAAAAUGAAUAAAAAGAGAUGUAUCUAAAACUAAAAUACAUCUAGAUACAUCUUCUUUUAUCCAUUUUGAUGACAAAUAUUUCCGGACGGAGGAAGUAUUUA